ensembl:snRNA U7 U7 small nuclear RNA
GAGUGAAAACAGUUCUUCAAGAAUUUUUCUAGCAGGAUUUCUGACUUGGUCAGAAGAUCCAAA